rnacentral:rRNA from 1 species
AGCGAACGCUGGCGGCAGGCCUAACACAUGCAAGUCGAACGAAGUCUUCGGACUUAGUGGCGGACGGGGGAGUAACACGUGGGAACGUGCCUUUAGGGUCGGAAUAACCCAGGGAAACUUGUGCUAAUACCGAACGUGCCCUGCGGGGGAAAGAUUUAUCGCCUUUAGAGCGGCCCGCGUCUGAUUAGCUAGUUGGUGAGGUAAAGGCUCACAAAGGCUACGAUCAGUAGCUGGUCUGAGAGGAUGACCAGCCACAUUGGGACUGAGACACGGACCGAACUCCUACGGGAGGCAGCAGUGGGGAAUGUUGCGCAAUGGGCGAAAGCCUGACGCAGCCAUGCCGCGUGGAUGAUGAAGGUCUUAGGAUUGUAAAAUCCUUUCACCGGUGAAGAUAAUGACUGUAGCCGGAGAAGAAGCCCCGGCUAACUUCGUGCCAGCCGCCGCGGUAAAAC